AUGAUGGUAAAAUUAGUCUUUUGGAGCCUCCUGUCCCAACAGAACCACAGGCAGUUGAUGAUGGGGAUGAAGAAACAGUUUCUGCUGCCACAGAGAUGCCUACAGAGAGUGUGGAAGAACAGCAAGAGGAUGGUCCAUCAACUUCUGGUGCACAGAUGAACACAGUUCAGUGAUUUUUUUUUUUCAGUAAAUGCCACAGUUUAAUAUUGUAGAAUUUUAGAACUACAUGAUGUAACUGUAAUCUACUGUAUUUUCAGUUGCCAGUUAAGGAGUUAUAUAGACUUCUUCUUAUUAAAAAGAUAGAAAAAAACAGCAAAGAACUUGUAUACUUGGACCGCCAGAUCCAAAAGGCAGAUCUGGAAAUUGAGAUUCUGAAACUAAAGCUAGAGG